rnacentral:rRNA from 1 species
GACGUAGGAUGCAAGCGUUGUCCGGAUUUAUUGGGCGUAAAGAGUUCGUAGGCGGACCGCUAGGUCGGAUGUGAAAGCCCUCGGCUUAACCGAGGAAGUGCAUUCGAAACUGACGGUCUUGAGUAUGGAAGAGGGUCGCGGAAUUCCCGGUGUAGAGGUGAAAUUCGUAGAUAUCGGGAGGAACACCAGUGGCGAAGGCGGCGACCUGGGCCAAUACUGACGCUCAUGCACGAAAGCGUGGGGAGCAAACAGG